rnacentral:rRNA from 1 species
UCCUAGCAGUAAACGAUGCGGGCUAGGUGUUGGCAUCACUGCGAGUGGUGCCAGUGCCGAAGGGAAGCCGUUAAGCCCGCCAUCUGGGGAGUACGGUCGCAAGGCUGAAACUUAAAGGAAUAGGCGGGGGAGCACAACAAGGGGUGAAGCCUGCGGUUCAAUUGGAUUCGACGCCGGUCCA